rnacentral:rRNA from 1 species
UUCAUAAACCUAAUAUAACCCUUCACCUCUACUGAAUGACUUCAUAACUUUAUGAAGAACCUUAUGUUAAAACUAGUAACAAGAAGUAGCCCUUCUCCAAAAUGUAAGCAUGAACCAAAAUGAACAAUUCAUUGGUAUUUAAAAUUUUUUAGCCUCAAGUAAUAACCCACCAAGAAAAUCUUACUGCCUAACAUGUCAACCUUACACCAGCACAUUCAUGGAAAGAGUAAAAGAAUGGGAAGGAACUCGGCAAAUAACUAACCCCGCCUGUUUACCAAAAACAUCGCCUCCUGCUACUUUAUAGGAGGUCCAGCCUGCCCAGUGAUAUAAUUAAACGGCCGCGGUACCCUAACCGUGCAAAGGUAGCGCAAUCACUUGUUCUUUAAAUGAGGACUAGUAUGAACGGCAUCACGAGGGUUACACUGUCUCCCCACUCUACUCAGUGAAACUGAUCUCCCCGUGAAGAAGCGGGGAUAAAAAUAUAAGACGAGAAGACCCCAUGGAGCUUAAAACUCAGUCUUACCUGCCACCUAAAAAACCUAGAAACCACGCAAUACUAAUGACUAGUUUUCGGUUGGGGUGACCGCGGAGAAAAACAAAUCCUCCACGACGAAAGGACCUAUUACCUAAUCUAAGAGCCACUCCUCUAAGAAUCAACACAUUGACUAACUGAUCCAAUUUUUUGAUCAACGAACCAAGUUACCCUGGGGAUAACAGCGCAAUCCAUUUCAAGAGCUCAUAUCGACAAAUGGGUUUACGACCUCGAUGUUGGAUCAGGGUAUCCAAGUGGCGCAGCCGCUACUAACGGUUC